CUUUGUUUUUCAGGGAAAUCGUUGUUUGCCGUGCAUAAUUGGGAAUGGAGGGUUGUUUAAGAAGACAGGGAUGGGUAUCUGAGCGCAUGAGUGAACACCAUCACUGUACACCCAAAUCAAACAGUGCUCCUUACCUGACUUUGGCAUGCAAGGCCUUCUCUCUGUCGUCUUGGCAUGUUAACUGGAUGUGAAUCAGAGUAGCCUUUGGAAAGAGUACGAGCCAACUCUGGCACGCUUCGUCGGUGUUCUUAUCAUUAAGGUCGCGUCCAUCAGCUGGGUGACCGGGAUCGAGAGAGUACCAGGUGGGGACUGGGAUCUCCAGGUGUUGGUGUAUGCACGUGUUUUGUUAUGAAAACAGCUAAAUCAGCAUCCUGGAAAUGGGAUU